rnacentral:rRNA from 1 species
AGUGAACGCUGGCGGUAGGCCUAACACAUGCAAGUCGAACGGCAGCACAGUAAUAGCUUGCUCUUACGGGUGGCGAGUGGCGUACGGGUGAGGAAUACAUCGGAAUCUACUUUUUCGUGGGGGAUAACGUAGGGAAACUUACGCUAAUACCGCAUACGACCUACGGUUGAAAGCAGUGGAUCUUCGGACCUUUCGCGAUUGAAUGAGCCGAUGUCGGAUUAGCUAGUUGGCGGGGUAAAGGCCCACCAAGGCGACGAUCCGUAGCUGGUCUGAGAGGAUGAUAAGCAACACAGGAACUGAGAGACGGUCAAGAGACCGACGGGAGGCAGCAGGGGGGAAUAUUGGACAAAGGGCGCAAGCCUGAACCAGACAUACAGCGGGGGUGAAGAAGGCCUUCGGGUUGUAAAGCCCUUUUGUUGGGAAAGAAAAGAAGAAGGUUAAUACACCGCUGUUCUGACGGUACCAAAAGAAUAAGAACCGGCUAACUUCGU